rnacentral:rRNA from 1 species
UACGUAGGGUGCGAGCGUUGUCCGGAAUUAUUGGGCGUAAAGAGCUCGUAGGCGGCUUGUCGCGUCGGAUGUGAAAGCCCCGGGGCUUAAACUCCGGGUCUGCAUUCGAUACGGGCAGGCUAGAGUUCGGUAGGAGAGAUCGGAAUUCCUGGUGUAGCGGUGAAAUGCGCAGAUAUCAGGAGGAACACCGGUGGCGAAGGCGGAUCUCUGGGCCGAUACUGACGCUGAGGAGCGAAAGCGUGGGGAGCGAACAGG